GACGAACGCUGGCGGCGUGCUUAACACAUGCAAGUCGAACGCUGAAGCUCAGCUUUUGUUGGGUGGAUGAGUGGCGAACGGGUGAGUAACACGUGAGUAACCUGCCCCCUUCUUUGGGAUAACGCCCGGAAACGGGUGCUAAUACUGGAUAUUCACUGGUCUUCGCAUGGGGGUUGGUGGAAAGGGUUUUUCUGGUGGGGGAUGGGCUCGCGGCCUAUCAGCUUGUUGGUGGGGUGAUGGCCUACCAAGGCUUUGACGGGUAGCCGGCCUGAGAGGGUGACCGGUCACAUUGGGACUGAGAUACGGCCCAGACUCCUACGGGAGGCAGCAGUGGGGAAUAUUGCACAAUGGGCGCAAGCGUGAUGCAGCGACGCCGCGUGAGGGAUCGAGGCCUUCGGGUUGUGAACCUCUUUCGCUCAUGGUCAAGCCGCAACAAUGGUUGUGGUGAGGGUAGUGGGUAAAGAAGCGCCGGCUAACUACGUG
rnacentral:rRNA from 1 species